GGCGCUGGAGGUCCGAGUGCCCCCCCACUUUCCUUCCCCUCCACACCUCUCCCCUCCGUUACCCACAUUGUCCAGACUGACCGAUCAUGACGGUCCAGGACCUAGUGCCUAAGUGGCUUUGAGUGAGGGAGAAAAAGAAAAGUAACCACAAUUGAUUGAUGCAUUUCAGGAAAACAUGUGCAAUGUGUAAGACCUGGGAACCUCUCACCUCCUGGAUGGGGAGGGAAAAGCAGUCAACACAACUAAAUAGUACACCGAGGAAAAGAUAAUUGUGGCGGGAGACACUCACUCUGGGAACAUUCCACUUACUACAGGUUUGCUCUCUGUGGAAGCACAUCUAGCCUCAGAAUACUUAGCAGACGAGACAUUUGGGGCUGAAGACACAGACUCAGAACAUUCUACUUACUACAGUCUUGCUUUCUGGGGAAAAACAUCUACCCUCAGAACACUAGGAGGAAAAGUUACCUGUGGCAGGAGAUUUCUCUCUGAGAAGAUCCCAGUAUAAGAAAGAAACUGGGGAGCCUCUCUGAGCAAAG